GUGCAACGCUUGGCACACGCACGGCAGGACUUGAAGCACGACUCGCGCAUCCAGGUCAUCCUUCGGGCUCACCCAGGAGGCUACAGCAUCGCAGAAGAAAAUAAAGUCCUGAAACAUGACGGAUCCCAUGUGAGGGGCCGCCCAAGCCAGCCCCCGCCCUGCCCUCUGAGCCCCGCUGCCCGGACCUGCACAACACCCCCAGGAUUGACACCAAUCAUCAUGCAGAUGCCUCGGAAGGCAGAAUCCUUCUCCUCGUUGUCCCGGAUGUUCCUAAGGGACGUGCACCUGGCCAUGGAGGAGGGCAGCAGGUCCCACCCAGGCAGGCACACACCAAGGCCGGAUGAACUGCUGCAGCAUGGGUGCCACCUCCUGCGGGCACACGUAGCCCAGGCGGCCGAUGGUGAUGGCUGGAAUGGCAGAGGGACUCGUCAGGCGACCUGCAACCCCGAGUGGCCCCGGGACGGUCUUAGAAGCCUUCCUUCCGGGAACGGCCCCCUCAGCCCCGGCCUGGUACUCACCUGUGUUUUCCAGCAGCGUCUUGGGUGUGUUGGGCCUGUUAAUGAUCUCCACCAGGUUGUUGAGGACCAUCUGCACAUAAGGCUGCAUCUCUGCCCCUAGGGAGCAGCCAUUCAGAGCCCUGCAUGGCCCACUCCACCCACAGAGUGCCAGCUGGGCAUAGCUGACCUCACGCCAUGAUCCCAGUUACAUGCGGACUGGCAUACCACCACACCCGAGAGAACAAAGACCCUUCUCGGGAUGCUCCCCACCAAGUCCGCAGCCAACACACAACAGAACCACCCAAAGGAGUCUCUGAAGUCAUUACCCAGAAGGUAACAUGACCACUCCACCCAGUCUUCCCCAAGGACAGGAAGUCAAAGUCACUGAUCCCAGUGGACCUUUCAGAAAAACAAUUACACGAGAUGGUCCGGUCAGUAGGAACAAACUGUCUACCCCACGUCAUAAAUGGCCCUUCAGUUAUUUGACUUCACUUGUCAGGGGGAUCAAAGUAUGUUCUUUCCCCUGACCAAUAGGAUGGAGACAGAGCAAUGAAGAGGCAGGCAGUCUGCCACUCUCGAGGCACUCACCCAUCUGCAUGCAGAUCUCCCCAAUGGCCCAGGUAGCAUUGUUGCAGACAGAGAUGAACUCAGGGUUCAGGUUGGUACCCAGAAUAGGCAUGAACUCAGCUAAUGCAAAGAGCAGAGCAGGGAGGGGAGAAAAAAACCCCAACUGAGCAGAAAGGCCACUGAGGCCCGCCAAGCUCCCAGAACUGACUGGGCAGCCCCAUCAGACAGUACGAAUACAUCCCAGUCCGGUCAUGGGCCUCCCAGGGUAUGUCUCCAUCACUUAAGGCCAAUGUUGAGGUCAUGGGACGGGGGCAAACAGGGUAGCUUACCGAUACAGGGCUUGACGUGGAUAAAGCAGGCUUUGGUAAGGUCUCCCAGAAGGGCAAAGGAGCUCUGCCGGACCUCAGGCAUGGAAUCCUGGAGUUGGGAAAGAUGGCGGAAAUGGCAGGGCUGCUCCUACUCCUUCCAUCUAAGCCAUUGGAGGUGGCACAGUCCCCCUCGAGCACACCCUGACCACAAAUACUGAGGUACAGGUCUGUCCACCAUGUCCACCACACAGACCUUACUUCACUAGCCUUCUACUAUACUACAGCCUGUUUCCCAGGACACGGGGUUGGAGUUCAUUGGUAAGCAUUUACUUUGAAAACUCUCUAGAACCCCAUUUUACCCCUACCUAUCCCGCCUCCCAAAACCGCAAAAAAUAAAUUGUAUUACAUACACUCUUAAUUUCUCUUUGAGCCAGGUCUUGCUACAUAGACCUGGCUGACCUAGACACUACCUUGUUCCUGCUAAGACCCCAUCAUGCCCCACUGUGUGGCGCUCGCUUGUAUGCAUCCUCAGCUGCCACCUCAUCUUAUUUCUGAGGAAGUUUCUUUCUGAACCUGAGCUCACUAGAACUCAACUAGACAAGCUGGCCAGAGAACCAACCCCAGGAAUCCACCUGCCUCUGCUUCCCCAGUGCUCUGAAUCACGGGCACCUCUAUGCAGAUGCACCCUUUUAUUUCCAUCUUUAAUGGCGUGUGUAUGUUGGGUGAGAGGGUGUACACAUUUAUAGGUAUCCUUGGAAACUAGAAGAGGGAGUCAGGUCCCCUGAGAAGCUAAAACAACAGGCAGUUGUCAUUAUUAGUGGCCUGAUGUUGAUGCUGGAGCCAAACUUAGGUUCUCUGGAAGAACAGUAAGUGCCCUUAACCUAAGCCACCUCUUUAACACCUACCCCCAGCUUUUCACGGGGGGGGGGGGGGGGAUCAAGCUCAGGCUCCUGUCCUUGUCUAACAGGCACUUACUGAGCCAUCUCCCCAUUACCUAUAUUUUGUUUUGUUGUUGUUUGAGGCAGGGUCUCACUACAUAGCCUUGUUUAGCCUGGAACUCAGAAAUCUACCUGCCUGUGCCUCCAAAUCUAAAGCACUUGGAUUAAAGGCUAUGCCACCACAAA
rnacentral:lncRNA from 1 species